AUAUCUUUCCACACAAUUCAACAAAGAAAAGAAAAAACACAAAAACAUAAACAGGAAGGAAGCAAAUCUACAGCAGCCAAUAGGAAGAGAUGCUUUGAUCAAAACAAGAAGCCAACUGCAAUCCUUUGUCACCUGAGUUCCAGAUUACACCAAUCACCUGAUUCAUCUGAUCUCUGUAACACAUCCAGUUCAUUGUAGAUCUGUUGACUGGUUGUUCCAGUUUUGGAGUGGAAAGGUCAAUUCUUGUUCAGUCAGACCAGUUUUCCAGUGACAGAGUUUAUGAAACGAUGUUCCUCUCUUCCUGGUAACCAUGGUUCUGUCUGGAUCUGCCUGUUUCUGGAUGUGUCCACCUGACUGACCGUCUCUGUCUCUGGCCCUUUCAAUCUAAAGGUACUGGACCCACAUGGACAUGGCUUCCUGAAGCUUUUUAUAAAUUGGCCCUUCUGAACCCCUGGAGCCAAGAUCCCAUCAAGCAAGCUCCUUCCCCAUGCCUGCCUUCAGGAGGAUUUGUCCUAAUCUGGAUGAAGUUGAGCAAUCACAAAAUCUUCAAAACUUUCUUUAUCUGACCUCUCCACUGAGGAUGGAUCCUUGAAAAGUUGAAAAAUAAACCAAAAGUUGAUGAUGGGUAUUGUAAUUGAAUCAUCAGAUUUGCUGUGUUUUUUCUCAGAUACUUGUAUGAAAGCUGUUCAAUGAUCACCGGUUGGUGGCCUCUGUUCUUUACAGAACAUGGAAUCUGAAUGAGCCAUGUUCAAGACCUCCAUUACAGAUGUGACUUCCAGAAGUAGUGAACUGAAGGUCAUUGGUACCUGAAGGUGGAGGGAGGUAAGAUGAGCAGAUCUGGGUCUGUGGAGUGUGUGAUGAUGGGUGUGUGAUCAGAAACUUGUGUUGUGAUGAGCAGAACUGUAAUCGUGGUGGCAGAUUCAGUCGGUAUAAAUCUCACACACUCGGCCCCCUGUCUCUGGUUUCCUCCUCAUUUCCAGGUUUUACUCCGCCUUCUCGUCUCCGUGGCACCAGCAG